UUUCCUGGUUGAUCCUGCCGGACCUGACUGAUAUCGGAUUGAUACUAAGCCAUGCGAGUCAUUGUAGCAAUACAAGGCAUACGGGUCAAUAACGCGUAGUCAACCUAAACUAUGGACGGGAAUAACCUAAGGAAACUGAGAAAUAUUGCCCGAUAGAACAUUAUGCCUUGGAAUGGUUUAUGUUCCAAAUGAUUUAUCGACGUAAGAUGGGACUGCGGACUAUCAGAAAGUAGGUGAGGUAAUGGACCAACAAGACUAUUACAAGUAACGGGCUCUGAUAAGAGUAACCCGGAGAUGGGUACUGAGACACGGACCCCAGCCCUAUGGGGCGCAGCAGGCGAUAAAACUUUUGUCAUGUGCGAAAAGCACGACAAGGUUAAUCCGAGUGGUUACAUGCUAAAGAAA
rnacentral:rRNA from 1 species